AGUGAACGCUGGCGGCAGGCCUAACACAUGCAAGUCGAACGGCAGCACAGUAAGAGCUUGCUCUUACGGGUGGCGAGUGGCGUACGGGUGAGGAAUAUAUCGGAAUCUACUUUUUCGUGUGGGUUCACGUAGCUAAACUUACUCUAAUAUCGCAUACGACCUACCGUUGAAGGCAGUGGAUCUUUUCCCCUUGUGCGAUUGAAUGAGCCGAUGUCGGAUUAGCUAGUUGGCGGGGUAAAGGCCCACCAGGGCGACGAUCCGUAGCUGGUCUGAGAGGAUGGUCAGCCACACUGGAACUGAGACACGGUCCAGACUCCUACGGGAGGCAGCAGUGGGGAAUAUUGGACAAUGGGCGCAAGCCUGAUCCAGCCAUACCGCGUGGGUGAAGAAGGCCUUCGGGUUGUAAAGCCCUUUUGUUGGGAAAGAAAAGCAGCAGGUUAAUACCCCGCUGUUCUGACGGUACCCAAAGAAUAAGCACCGGCUAACUUCGUG
rnacentral:rRNA from 1 species